GGGUUGUGAGGUUAAGCGACUAAGCGUACACGGUGGAUGCCCAGGCAGUCAGAGGCGAUGAAGGACGUGCUAAUCUGCGUAAAGCGACGGUAAGGUGAUAUGAACCGCUACAGCCGUCGAUGUCCGAAUGGGGAAACCCGGUGCACUCUGUGCAUCAUUGCAGCAUGAAUACAUAGUGCUGCAAGGCGAACCGGGGGAACUGAAACAUCUAAGUACCCCGAGGAAAAGAAAUCAACCGAGAUUCCCCCAGUAGCGGCGAGCGAACGGGGAGCAGCCCAGAGCCUGAAUCAGUUUGUGUGUUAGUGGAAGCGUCUGGAAAGUCGCAGGGUACAGGGUGAUACUCCCGUACACAAAAGCACACAUGCUGUGAGCUCGAUGAGUAAGGCGGGACACGUGGUAUCCUGUCUGAAUAUGGGGGGACCAUCCUCCAAGGCUAAAUACUCCUGACUGACCGAUAGUGAACCAGUACCGUGAGGGAAAGGC
rnacentral:rRNA from 1 species